rnacentral:rRNA from 1 species
AUUGAACGCUGGCGGCAGGCCUAACACAUGCAAGUCGAACGAGUGGCGGACGGGUGAGUAAUGUCUGGGGAACUGCCCGAUGGAGGGGGAUAACUACUGGAAACGGUAGCUAAUACCGCAUACUAUCCGAUGAGCCCAGAUGGGAUUAGCUUGUUGGUGGGGUAACGGCUCACCAAGGCGACGAUCCCUAGCUGGUCUGAGAGGAUGAACAGCCACACUGGAACUGAGACACGGCCCAGACUCCUACGGGAGGCAGCAGUGGGGAAUAUUGCACAAUGGGCGCAAGCCUGAUGCAGCCAUGCCGCGUGUAUGAAGAAGGCCUUCAGGUUGUAAAGUACUUUCAGCGGGGAGGCGUUACCCGCAGAAGAAGCACCGGCUAACUCCGUGCCAGCAGCCGCGGUAAUAC